rnacentral:rRNA from 1 species
UGGGGAAUCUUCCGCAAUGGGCGCAAGCCUGACGGAGCAACGCCGCGUGAGUGAAGAAGGGUUUCGACUCGUAAAGCUCUGUUGUCGGGGACGAACGUGGAGACUAUGAAUAAUGGUUUUCAAUGACGGUACCUGACGAGGAAGCCACGGCUAACUACGUGCCAGCAGCCGCGGUAAUACGUAGGGAGCAAGCGUUAUCCGGAUUUAUUGGGUGUAAAGGGUGCGUAGACGGAAAGACAAGUUAGUUGUGAAAUACCUCGGCUUAACUGAGGAACUGCAACUAAAACUAUCUAUCUUGAGUACUGGAGGGGAAAGCGGAAUUCCUAGUGUAGCGGUGAAAUGCGUAGAUAUUAGGAAGAACACCGGUGGCGAAGGCGGCUUUCUGGACAGUAACUGACGUUGAGGCACGAAAGUGUGGGGAGCAAACAGGAUUAGAUACCCUGGUAGU